GGCAGCCCCUGAAGCACGAACACAACUGCACCUCGGGUCUGCCGUCUCCCAAGAUACGGGUGAGUUCUCGUGAUGCCCACCCUAAACCCUCACGUCCUACAAAUUCCUCAACCUCUACCAUCUCGAUUUUGUCCAUGCUCUGAUCCAAAUGACGAUGCAGCUCCGGCCGAUUGACAAUGGAGGUUUGCCAUCCUUCCUCUCAGCACCCACUCCUGGAGGAACGACACGCCAUGCCGAUCGAACCCGGUCGAGAUCACUCACCAAGAUUGCUAUUCGGAAGUUUUUUGUCAAAAAGUAAAGAGUGGGAC
rnacentral:lncRNA from 1 species